rnacentral:rRNA from 1 species
ACUCAAAUGAAUUGACGGGAGCCCGCACAAGCGGUGGAUUAUGUGGUUUAAUUCGAAGCAACGCGCAGAACCUUACCUAGGUUUGACAUCCUUUGACAAUGCCAGAGAUGGUACUUUCGUAGCAAUACGACAAAGAGACAGGUGCUGCAUGGCUGUCGUCAGCUCGUGUGGUGGCAUGUCGGGUUAAGUCCCUCAACGAGCGCAACCCCUGUGUUUAGUUGCCAGCAUUAAGUUGGGCACUCUAGACAGACUGCCGUGGUUAACACGGAGGAAGGCGGGGAUGACGUCAAGUCCUCAUGGCCCUUACACCUAGGGCGACACACGUAAUACAAUGGCUAGUACAGAGGGAUGCGAAUGAGCGAUCAGGAGCAAAUCUCAAAAAGCUAGUCUCAGUUCGGAUUGGAGUCUGCAACUCGACUCCAUGAAGGCGGAAUCGCUAGUAAUCGCGGAUCAGCACGCCGCGGUGAAUACGUUCCCGGGCUUUGUACACACCGCCCGU